GACGAACGCUGGCGGCGUGCUUAACACAUGCAAGUCGAACGGAAAGGCCCUGCUUUUGUGGGGUGCUCGAGUGGCGAAUGGGUGAGUAACACGUGAGUAUCCUGCCCUUGACUUUGGGAUAACUUCAGGAAACUGGGGCUAAUACCGGAUAGGAGCUCCGGCUGCAUGGGGUGGGUUGGAAAGUUUCGGCGGUUGGGGAUGGACUCGCGGCUUAUCAGCUUGUUGGUGGGGUAGUGGCUUACCAAGGCUUUGACGGGUAGCCGGCCUGAGAGGGUGACCGGCCACAUUGGGCCUGAGAUACGGCCCAGAAUCCUACGGGAGGCAGCAGUGGGAAAUAUUGCACAAUGGGCGGAAGCCUGAUGUAGCAACGCUGCGUGCGGGAUGACGGGCUUCGGGUUGUAAACCGCUUUCGCCUGUGAUGAAGAGUGAGUGACGGUAAUGGGUAAAGAAGCAACGGCUAACUACGUG
rnacentral:rRNA from 1 species